UACGUAGGGUGCAAGCGUUGUCCGGAAUUAUUGGGCGUAAAGAGCUCGUAGGCGGUUCGUCGCGUCGGCUGUGAAAACCCGGAGCUCAACUCCGGGCCUGCAGUCGAUACGGGCGGACUUGAGUGUUGCAGGGGAGACUGGAAUUCCUGGUGUAGCGGUGAAAUGCGCAGAUAUCAGGAGGAACACCGGUGGCGAAGGCGGCUCUCUGGACCGAGACUGACGCUGAGGCGCGAAAGCGUGGGGAGCAAACAGG
rnacentral:rRNA from 1 species